ensembl:lncRNA
UGGAGUGUCACGUACACACGCACUCAUGCAAGAGCACGAUCUCUCCGGCUGCUCGCAUGGCUGUGUGCUGCUAGUGGUGCAGAGAAUGACUAAGGAGGAUCCUUACACGGGACCACCACCACCCACCAGAUCGCUGGAUGUAACCUGACCCUGUAUUCUGGGCCUUUGCAUGGCUGGGAAGAAGCAGGCUUCCCCCCCUUCCCCCCCCCCGACAGUGUGGGGUGGGUGUCCUUUUUGUAGGAUAGUAGUGUUGUGACUGUGUUUGUUGCAGGAUGGAAGAAGGAAGGAAAAAAGGUUUGGCUAGUGUCUGAAGACAGAUGGAGGCAAGAGGCCUCAACACACGGAGAUGGAGACACAGCAUUUCAGUCCCAUGGUGGCUCUCUUGCAUAGCUCAUCAUUUAAGAAAAAUAAAGUUUGUUUUGAGUUACAACCCAUCGAAAGUAUUUUCUAAUAUUGAAUAAUCUGUAUCAGACAAUUCUUUUGAAGGCUGAAAAACGUGUCUGAAAAAACAUGGGUUGUGUGCAAUUAAUAAAUAUGUUGUAUUUGCCGGAGUGACUGUCCUUACAUUUUCCAUAUCACCGAAAGGUUCAUAUCUUAACUUCAAAUUUGUUCAUGUGUUUUGUUCAACCACAAAACUAGCAGUCGGACGAUAAGAAAAUAACUGAAAGUAUUGCAUAUCUUCAAUAUUGUAUUAAUCAUUUGAACCCAGUUAAUUAUCAUCCUCAUACAUUUUAUAUAUAUAUACAAAAAAUACGAACUCUGAUGCCUUGAAGUCUGGCUUUGAUACGCCAGCAGCUUAUAAAUAAAACUCAAAUGGAUUACAUUAGCACACUGGAAUACACUUGUUUCCUUCCUGUAGAAUUUGUUUAAUUAUAGAAAAGCUGCCCAUGUUGUGAUAAGUAAGGACAAUGUUUUGUCUUGCAUGUCAUGAAAAUACCACAUAAAUGUCUCAUGUGUACUAGCAUGUGGUUCUAUCAGAAACAGUUCAAUGCAGUUGACUAAUCAAAAGACAAAUGAGGCAUAAUUAGAGCUGGCAGGAGUCCUGAAGUCAGAACCUCAUGCAUAGAAUAAAUAUCAAAUAUACGAAAGCUGCAACUAAGUUUUGUUGGACACCAGUACACUAUGUGGAGACAACUGAAGCCCAAAACCAGAGCUGAAUGAUGUGUCCACUAUGACUUACAUCCACUCAAGUCAUACUGUAAUGUACAACAUGGGAAUAUAUUCUGCCUUAAUAACAAAAAUAUCCAUAAACACAUCUUGUCAAUUAAGUUGAUCUGUUAUUGUCCAGUAUUGUUGUGAGGAAAGACACAAAGAAGCAGGGCUGAAUAUGAAUGAAUCACAUGCUUACCACCUUGUUUUAGUCAAACAUAUUAGGAGCAUCUUCCAAUGCUGGAAACCUGUUCUGUGCAACACUAUUAAUCCAAUUCCAAUUUGGGAUACAGAGGAAAUUUGGGAUAUCUCUUUGUAUCACUAAUCAUAAAAUAUUAUCAAUAGCCACAAGAACCAUAUCUUUAGAAACAAAAUGUUCUAAAUAUCAGGUUAUUAGUGAUACAUGAACAAACCACUCUGUGAAAAACUUUUACAACAUAGAAUUCAAGAUACAUCUACAGACAACUGUAGCGAAACAAACCUUGUUGUGUAUUUUGGAUGUUUUAUUCCACCUGUCCAAUUGGAAACAUGUGGAAGCAAAAAAGCCCACACUCUCACGCAUCUGUUUCCAUUCCAGUCAAAAACCUACAGUUUGAUAGAG